rnacentral:rRNA from 1 species
UCCUGGCUCAGGAUGAACGCUGGCGGCGUGCUUAACACAUGCAAGUCGAACGAAGAUGCCGGAGUGCUUGCACUUUGGCAGACUGAGUGGCGGACGGGUGAGUAACGCGUGGGUAACCUGCCUUAUACAGGGGGAUAACAGUUGGAAACGACUGCUAAUACCGCAUAAGCGCACGGUAUCGCAUGAUACAGUGUGAAAAACUCCGGUGGUAUAAGAUGGACCCGCGUCUGAUUAGCCAGUUGGCAGGGUAACGGCCUACCAAAGCGACGAUCAGUAGCCGGCCUGAGAGGGUGAACGGCCACAUUGGGACUGAGACACGGCCCAAACUCCUACGGGAGGCAGCAGUGGGGAAUAUUGCACAAUGGGGGAAACCCUGAUGCAGCGACGCCGCGUGAGUGAUGAAGUAUUUCGGUAUGUAAAACUCUAUCAGCAGGGAAGAUAAUGACGGUACCUGACUAAGAAGCACCGGCUAAAUACGUG